rnacentral:tRNA from 1 species
GGGGAUUUAGCUCAGCGGUAGAGUGCUUGCCUAGCAAGCACAAGGCUCUGGGUUCGGUCCCCAGCUCCG